rnacentral:rRNA from 1 species
GAUGAACGCUGGCGGUGUGCCUAAUACAUGCAAGUCGAGCGAACAGACGAGGAGCUUACUCCUCUGACGUUAGCGGCGGACGGGUGAGUAACACGUGGAUAACCUACCUAUAAGACUGGGAUAACUUCGGGAAACCGGAGCUAAUACCGGAUAACAUGUUGAACCGCAUGGUUCCACAGUGAAAGACGGUCUUGCUGUCACUUAUAGAUGGGUCCGCGUCGCAUUAGCUAGUUGGUAAGGUAACGGCUUACCAAGGCAACGAUGCGUAGCCGACCUGAGAGGGAGAUCGGCCACACUGGAACAGAGCCACAUUCCAGACUCCUACAGGAGGCAGCAGUAGGGAAUCUUCCGCAAUGGGCGAAAGCCGGACGGAGCAACGCCGCGUGAGUGAAGAAGGACUUCGGAUCGGAGAACGCUGUUAUUAGGGAAGAACAAAUGUGUAAGUAACUAUGCACGUCUUGACGGUACCUAAUCAGAAAGCCACGGCUAACUACGUG